GUGAGCUUUUAAUUUCCCUGCUGUACUAGCACACUUACAUGAUGAGCAGCUUUGAGCCGGCCUUUCUCAGUUGUUUGUAAACAAACACAAAAUUCAUACACCUCUGAGGCCAUUUUAUUGGGUUUGGACACUUUGAAGAAGUUUGAUGUUCUUGGAUCCGCUUACAGUAGUAUUGAAUUAUUCCAGCAAUGAAAGUAGAUUCAUGUUUUGAACUGCCUCUGGAGCUCCAGUCAAGGUGAUUUCACAUUCGUUCAGUACUUUGAUUGCGGUGAAACAUCUGGAACUGCCUACAGUAAUAAGUGAUUCAUGAUGUCUGGCUCUGAGUUCCCAAGACUCAUUUUGGUUGGCAGAUUUGCAGUAGCUGUCUAGUCAAAGACUAUCACCCAUGUAAACAAGCGCCCAAGUGCAUGCAGUUAGUUAAAUGAACUUAAAUGAGUAGAGGCUGAAUCAGGAAUUUGAAUAAACGUAAGUUGUUUUAUCUUUUGUGGUGUGAGAAACAAGUGGGCAGUUGGAUGAAAAGGGCAAGCCUGAGAAAUCCCAGCAUGAAACACGGGGACAAUGCAGCUGGUACAUGCUCGGAGAAAGGUCAAACUGUAGUCAAAUGUGUCCACUUAGAGAAGGACAAACUGGACUUACACACACAUACUGUAUAGUGUGGUGCGUGUGGUCAUUCUCACACCUUUGAGUGUCUUUGGAUGUCUUUGUGUCUGUAUUUCAACAGCAGAAUCUCAUUUAAGUGUAAAUGUGUUUCAUUUUUGUCUCUCGGUUGGUGGUACUUUAAGAUGCACCCUUGACCUUGUUCGUGUGACCAUCACCUCUGUGGAAUAUAUUUGACCAAUGUUUCUUUAACCUCCCCAUUUGUACACUUUCUUACAAAAAACACACAUGCUAAUGCCUGCCACUGACCAUGACCAUCAUUGUGCAUGUCCAUAUGCCGUGGGGAAACCUUUCAACACCUCAAGACACCACCCACAGUGUUCAAAUUAACUGUCCGUCAGAAACAGAUGAGCAUUUUCGUGAAGCAUUCAGAUAACUCUUUUGAAUCACAUAAAAAAUAAAACAAUAAAAUAAAACAGAAUUAUACUUUACUAUUCUUCUUUAAGCCUAUUUGCCUGUUUCCUGUUUUGAAUUUGUAUGAAAACUGUAUGGUCUAUUCUAAAAAAAGGGGGCUUUUUUUUUUUUUUUGUUAACAACUUUUUAUUACAUUUUCUUCUAGAAACAGUAGUUUAGAACCCACCCAACCCACAAUAAAGUAUUUUUUACAAGGAUUUUAGAAAAGAUGACACUAAAAGCUGAAUGCUAUACAUUUACAGUGUCCUCAUUAGAUCCAUGUAUACGAGAAGUUGCGAGUUCCAUCGAGAUAAUGUCCAACAAAUACACCGUCCAGGUUCGUCUGUCCAUUGUGUGAGGAGGAUUCCAAUGGUUGACUAGCAAUUUUUUUGCUGCUGUGAGAGCAGCUAACAGCAAACAUCUUUGUUGGAUGGACAAGGUGUCCCAAAAGUCAUUUAUGAGAAAAUGGCACGGAACCCAACAAAUAUAACGGGUCCUGUGAGAGCUGAGACUAAAAAAGGUGAGAGAGAGGGGCACUCCCAAAAAAACUAUGCGAAAGCAUGCCUAAAGAUCCUUGUGAACAGAGAUUACACUUAGGAGAAGAUGACAUAUUCAUAUUCAGAAAAAAAAAAAAAAAGCUUCAGAGUGUGAUUCCUUUGGUCCAGAUCUAUCUAGGAUAUGCGACAUUACAGAAUUCGUAUCUGCACACCAAAACAAUUUCAAAAUCCGAAAUAUUUCAAGAGAUAGGUUGACAAAACCAAAAAAAAAAGUAGGGUCAGGAGUACAAGGGUCAUAAACUGAAAGAAAUACAAUAUUCCUAUUCUCCACUAUUGUUUUUAUAUGUGUUAUUCUACUGUCUGUAUCACAACCUUUAUCUAAAAUAGUAAUAUUUAAAGUCUUCCGCACCAAUUUUAGGACACCCUUGGUUUUAGUAUCUGAAGAUGAGUGAGAUACCACUUCAUAAAACUUAUUAUUACACCUGCGUAUAUCCUCCUCUUUCAAAUGGGAUUCUUGAACUAACACUAUAUCAAUCUUUCUUCUUUGCAAAAAAAAUCCAGAAAACCUGUACGUUUGUGAGGGCCAUUAAGGCCAUUAAUAUUACAACUCAGAAUAUUAAGGUCAGUCAUAGGUAUCGAUCAGAAUUACUGCAUAAUAAGACAAAAUACAACUUUGAAAAUAAAGCCAGUUGAGUCUACCAUUAAACCACCCCCCACCCUUCCCGUAAUUAUUAAAAAGAAAAAAAAAAAUGGCAGAUCAAACCAAGAACAAACCAUGAUCUGCCAGCACCCCUUAGUAUGAUCCGUGGCAUCAACAAAAACCUGCACAUUACUGAAGUACCAACAUUGGCCCCAUAGUCACAUAUUGACUAGGUAGUAUCUCUAUUUAAAAAUAAAUAAAUAAAAUAAAGAAAUAAAUAAAAUAAAAAAAAUAAAAAGGAGAGAGAAGGAAUACAACUAAAACAUAAAUAAAAUAACAUCAUAAUCAGUAAGCAAUACUGUAUGCACAAUGAAAGCUUCUAGUAACUAUGAAUUAAGAAGUGAACAUUAAAGUGAACAGUGAUAAACACAAGUCACCUAACCAUUUAGAGCAUCUCUUCUCCGAUUAGACAGCAAAUGUCCAGCUGAAGUUCACUGAGAGUUGGUGGAUGAAUGGGAUCUGAGAAAAACUCUUGCUUCUUGGAGUAUAGCAUUUUGGGGUGCACUUUGAUUGAGAAUGACCUUGCAGGAUAAAGAAGGAAAUUCUGGAUGCCAGCUUCUCUCAUUUCCUUCCUAACUGGCUCCGUCGGAUGUUUUCACCGGGGCGUGAAUUCUGGCAGCCCGCAGAAUGAGCUUCCUGUCCGUGUACUGCAACAGUUUAAAGGUGCCAUAGAAUGGAAAACUGUAUUUACUUUGGCAUAGUUAAAUAAUAACAGUUCUGUACAUGCACUCUAAAAAAAAGUGGUUCUUCAGUGGUUCUUCAUAUAUAGCACCACUACCGUAUAAAGAACCUGUUAAGCCCCUGUAUGGUUCUUCAGUGGUUCUUCAGCGGUUCUUUGGGCUGGUUAAGGUGCUAUAUAGCACCACUGCUGUACAUAAAGAAGCCAUUAAGCCAGCCAUUAAGUUUUUUAACUGUGUUUGCACUUGGAUGGGAUUAAUGCAGAACACUAAUUCGGGUUACCAUACUUGCCCACACCUCACUUCAUUAUACUCCAAAUUUUGUAAUUGCAGUAAAUUAAACUUAAUUUACUAAUUGUACAUCAGAUUUUAAUUUAUAAUAUAUAUAUUAUAUACACACACACACAAUCUUUUUUUUAUUUAAUGAACACACACAAAAUAAAAUGUCUCUGUAACUCAUUUACACAUACCAUAUAAAAGUAAAAUCAGUAAAGAGUUAAAGCUCUGGUGUUGAAUUAUCCACAAGUUUUUUUUUCCCCUCAAAUUUCAGACCCAUCACCUAUGUAAGUUUAAUUUGACUUCCAGUACUAUAGGUGACGAUAAUGCUCUUAAGUAGUUAUUUGCCAUUAAACAAGAAGAAGGUGUUACAUCCAGGACAUUUAGGUACUUUGUGCGCCUAAACGGGCUGAAACUUUUCUCACAGUCGCCAUUUUCUUUGACCCGCGAAUCGCGAUGCGGAGCAUACAAGGACAGAAAAAUUCAGAGAUUAAGUGUUUUAUGUUAAUCACACAGUAUUAAUUUUAUAACAUCACAUUGUUUUAGAACGAUAUUUCUGUGCUGUGUGUGUGGCUCGCGGUGCGGAGCUGACGAGGAGGUUGCUUUUUAACAGGAAAACACUGAAAGUAAGUGUUUUAUCUAAUUUACAAUAUGUAUUUUAUAACAUAUUGAUUUACAGUGAUAUUUAUAUGCUGUACGCGUUUAAACGGGCCGAAACUUUUCUCUCAGACGACAUUUCCUUUGACUCGCGGUUUAGACACGGAGGUUUUUUAACAGAGACAACACUGAAAGUAAGUGUUUAGUCUCAUUUACAUAUGUAUUUUAUGAUGUUAUAUUAUUUUAUAACGAUAUUUUUCUGCUGUGCAGUCCUAAACUUUUCUCAUAGACAUAAUUUUCUUUGACUCAUGAUACUGAGAAGACUGAGAAGAUGUUACUUUUUUGGAAAACACCAAAAAGAGACGUUUGCUUUGAUUUGGUUACUAUUAUCAACAAGAGACCUAAAAUGGCUCAUGCUGAAAUAACUGAAAAAAAUCAAAAGGAAAUUUGUUUGAGUAUAAAAUCAUCAGUACAUUGUCAAGUUGGAUGAAAAGAGCUCUUGUUAACAUUUUUUGGACACAUACAACAGACAUGGCUCCUUUCGGAUCUGUGAGACUACGCCAAUGUUGAUGUGGACCAACCAAAUUCUCACACAGCUCUCUGUAAUGACACCCUGAGUCCUUCAAGUUUCGCGGAGUCCCCUGAAGGAGAAGUUCAGGUGCAUGAUUGAUGAUUGAAGAUGGCGGACUGAAAAAAGGCAUACAGUUGGAAGCAGCUAUUCUGCUCUUGCCUGCUCUGUUCAAGGAGGACCUGGGGUUGCUGCUUGAAGUUGAGGGCCAAUCUCAGACCAGCCCAUCCCAACAACUAAGAUGAAGCUUAAAGGCUGUAGGGAGGGUCAUCUCCUGCAGUAUGACCACAUUGCGCUCAUGUUGGAUGGACAGUUAAUCACAGAGGAGAGUGAGGACAUCUUGACGGCACUGAGACUCCUCCUGUGUGUAUAUUUUGUGUUUGGAAUCCAGUAUCCUAAAGCAGCGGUUCUCAAUUCCAGUCCUGGUGACCUGCCCCCACAUGUUUUGCAUGUCUCACUUAUUUAACACACCUGAUUCAGAUCAUGAGCUCAUUAGAAAAGAGCUCCAUGAAUGAACUGUGCUCUGACUGACAUGGUCCCACAGUGUCCCUACACAGAACAUUCAUUCACAGAUUUACACUACUUCCUGUCACUAUAAGUCAGUAUUUCCUCUAUUUCUGGGCCUCUUCCAGGUCUAGUUGCAGUUUCUAUUGUUUUUUUAAAUCCUGAAGGACUUGCAGAAAUGUUAGUACACAGUUGACAGUGAAAGAGUGAAAGAUACUGCAGUACUUCAGAAUGUACAACUUAGUUUGCGCAUGGUUGUGUAUUAUUAAUUAAUUAAUAUUAAAAAGACUAGAUUUUCCAAAUAAAGUAAAGAACUAAUGUAGGCCUAAGACUGUAGGCGAAAAAGUUACCUGAUUACAGGGCUACAGUAUAUAUAUGUAAACCGGGACUCUCUCUUCUUCAAAAAUGUACAUAUUUCAAGCUUGUUGCAUUAUUUUGUAUGUGUAUAAAACAACAACUCCCCGUAUAUUGUGAUGUUGUAUAUGCAUAUUCCCUGCCCAGCUAACAUAAGACCAGCGGGCCAAUGGUGGCAAAGUCGGCGGCCCACCGGCGGACGCCGCCCGUGGUUCACCAGCGUUUUGCUCAUCGUUAUUCAAGCGGACCACCAGCGGCAGCCACCGCUUUUCCAACAGCGGUCCGCUGACGAGUCGCUGGUUUAUAAUUACUGUUUACUGGCGGUCCACGGUCGGUCCAUGGUUCAUAAUCAGUUCGAUUACGCUAACCAAAAUAUCCUUGCACACAAUAAUGGAUCAAAAACAAUGUACAAUGGCAAUUGAAAAUUUAUUUUCAGUGAACAGAUUAAACAUACAAAUGCAUUUACAGUAUAUGUAUCAGAUGGUUUUAUCCAAUGUGACUUUCAAAUAGAAGCAUUCAGUUCAUAUGUCCAUACAAAAGUCAACCACAAAAUUAACCAAGGUUUAACUAUGAUUGUUGUAGUAAAUUCACAGUAACUACCAUAACUAUGGUCUUACUACAGCAUAGUAGUAAACCUAUAGUAACU